UGGGCGCAAGCCUGAUGGAGCAACACCGCGUGAGUGAAGAAGGGUUUCGGCUCGUAAAGCUCUGUUGUUGGAGAAGAACGUGCGUGAGAGUAACUGUUCACGCAGUGACGGUAUCCAACCAGAAAGUCACGGCUAACUACGUGCCAGCAGCCGCGGUAAUACGUAGGUGGCAAGCGUUAUUCGGAUUUAUUGGGCGUAAAGCGAGCGCAGGCGGUUGCUUAGGUCUGAUGUGAAAGCCUUCGGCUUAACCGAAGAAGGGCAUCGGAAACCGGGCGACUUGAGUGAAGAAGAGGACAGUGGAACUCCAUGUGUAGCGGUGGAAUGCGUAGAUAUAUGGAAGAACACCGGUGGCGAAGGCGGCUGUCUGGUCUGCAACUGACGCUGAGGCUCGAAAGCAUGGGUAGCGAACAGGAUUAGAUACCCUGGUAGUCCAUGCCGUAAACGAUGAGUGCUAGGUGUUGGAGGGUUUCCGCCCUUCAGUGCCGGAGCUAACGCAUUAAGCACUCCGCCUGGGGAGUACGACCGCAAGGUUGAAACUCAAAGGAAUUGACGGGGGCCCGCACAAGCGGUGGAGCAUGUGGUUUAAUUCGAAGCUACGCGAAGAACCUUACCAGGUCUUGACAUCUUGCGCUAACCUAAGAGAUUAGGCGUUCCCUUCGGGG
rnacentral:rRNA from 2 species